rnacentral:rRNA from 1 species
AGUAACACGUAGGUAAUCUACCUUUGGUGGGAAUAACUCAGGGAAACUUGAGCUAAUACCGCAUAAUGCAGCGGCACCUUAUGGUGACAGUUGUUAAAGGAGCAAUCCGCCUAAAGAGGAGCCUGCGGCAGAUUAGGUAGUUGGUAAGGUAAUGGCUUACCAAGCCUGCGAUCUGUAACCGACCUGAGAGGGUGGUCGGUCACACUGACACUGAAUAACGGGUCAG